AUACGAAAGGUGCAAGCGUUGUUCGGAUUUACUGGGCGUAAAGAGAGUGUAGGUGGUUUAUUAAGUCGGAUGUGAAAUCCCGGGGCUCAACCUCGGAACUGCAUUCGAUACUGAUAGGCUAGAGUUUGGGAGGGGUAAGCGGAAUUCCGUGUGUAGCAGUGAAAUGCGUAGAUAUACGGAGGAACACCUGAGGCGAAGGCGGCUUACUGGACCAAUACUGACACUGAGACUCAAAAGCGUGGGUAGAAAACAGGAUUAGAAACCCUAGUAGUCC
rnacentral:rRNA from 1 species